rnacentral:rRNA from 1 species
CCUACGGGAGGCAGCAGUGGGGAAUAUUGGGCAAUGGAGGAAACUCUGACCCAGCGACGCCGCGUGCGGGAUGAAGGCCUUCGGGUUGUAAACCGCUUUCAGUAGGGAAGAAGCGAAAGUGACGGUACCUACAGAAGAAGCACCGGCUAACUAUGUGCCAGCAGCCGCGGUAAUACAUAGGGUGCAAGCGUUGUCCGGAAUUAUUGGGCGUAAAGAGCUCGUAGGUGGUUCGUCACGUCGGAUGUGAAAAUCUGGGGCUCAACCCCAGACCUGCAUUCGAUACGGGCGAUCUAGAGUGUGGUAGGGGAGACUGGAAUUCCUGGUGUAGCGGUGGAAUGCGCAGAUAUCAGGAGGAACACCAAUGGCGAAGGCAGGUCUCUGGGCCAUUACUGACACUGAGGAGCGAAAGCGUGGGGAGCGAACAGGAUUAGAUACCCUGGUAGUCCACGCCGUAAACGGUGGGCACUAGUUGUGGGAACCUUCCACGGUUUCUGCGACGCAGCUACGCAUAGUAGCCCGCCGUCGGGAGGUACGAACGUACGCGAAGAAGUUAAGUAACGUAACGUAAAGGUAAAGUUAGUUACGGUCGUUGAGACGUUCGCCGACGGACGACGACGAGGGAGGAGG